CCGCAGCCAAUUAAGCCGGCCGUGGCCCCCCCCCCAACCCGUGGGGCCCCGGCGUGCACUGGCUGCGCACAGCAACCGCCCCCCCCGGCUGUGUAGGGCGCCCCGCUCGCUCCCCCGCGGGGCGCCCCAAGGGGCCGGGGGCACAACC
rnacentral:snoRNA from 1 species